rnacentral:rRNA from 1 species
UACGAAGGGGGCUAGCGUUGCUCGGAAUCACUGGGCGUAAAGAGCUCGUAGGCGGUCUGUCGCGUCGGUCGUGAAAACUUGGGGCUUAACCCUGAGCUUGCGGUCGAUACGGGCAUGACUGGAGUUCGGCAGGGGAGACUGGAAUUCCUGGUGUAGCGGUGAAAUGCGCAGAUAUCAGGAGGAACAGCCGGUGGCGAAGGCGGGUCUCUGGGCCGAUACUGACGCUGAGGAGCGAAAGCGUGGGGAGCAAACAGGAUUAGAAACCUAG